UGGCCUGUUAAAAGACUUAGUACAAGUGAAGUCUUACUACCGCAGUGGAGCUCAACUCAAUUUUUGGGAAAAGUGUAUUUACCAAUGUAUCCCUUCCUCGGUUGAUCCAUCAUCUCACAAAGUCAAAGACACCAAGAUGGCUCGAGGCAAAAUUGCUCAUCUAGUGUUACGUGUAACACCUUUUAUCAAAAGGAUUGGAGAAUUGAAGUUACGGCACGAAUGCUGGCUUGAGUUAGCAAUUCUAGUUUUUA